CUGAGGAGGAGAGGUCAUUACUGACAGGCUGCUUACCACUGAACUGCCUGAGGAGGAGAGGUCAUUACUGACAGGCUGCUUACCACUGAACUGCCUGAGGAGGAGAGGUCAUUACUGACAGGCUGCUUACCACUGAACUGCCUGAGGAGGAUAGGUCAUUACUGACAGGCUGCUUACCACUGAACUGCCUGAGGUGGAGAGGUCAUUACUGACAGGCUGCUUACCACUGAACUGCCUGAGGUGGAGAGGUCAUUACUGACAGGCUGCUUACCACUGAACUGCCUGAGGUGGAGAGGUCAUUACUGACAGGCUGCUUACCACUGAACUGCCUGAGGUGGAGAGGUCAUUCACUGAAUCUGACUUUUGUUUUGAGCACCAGCACCGCGUGGCUCAAAUCAGACCAACAUGACUGUGUGUCUGUGCGGGAAACAGGUUGAGGAACCAGAGGGGGGAGCAGCGCGGUGUAACGCAGCCCGACGAAGCAAGGCAACAGACAGCUGUUUGGUGGUCUGCCCUGCCUGCCUCGCCGCUCGCCCACUGAAAGGUAUACAGACAAGGAGGCAUACAAGGUACCUCUCCUCUCAGGCGUCUGCAGGCAGCAGGCUCUCAGUCAGUCCCUGUCAGAUGGGUCAUGUGCUCAUAUUACCUGGUGUUCCUCCUCAUGGUCCUCUUCAGAGUGGGGUCGACUCCACUGCUCAGCAGCUGUCUCAGCAGCACACAGCGUUAAGAUUGAGACAGACACAGACGCCUUCAGGGUGAGAAAACAGACUUAACGAUGUAAAUCUUUAGUAGGCCAACAUCUAUGAAUUACUUCCCUAUCCUCCCAGGCUUCAGUAAUGGCGAGCCGAAUAAAGAGCACUGACAUACUGUGUUUUUGUUCUUCUGGAUUGACACUCGCCAUUUUCUGUCAAAUAUGAUUUGAGUGUCUGUUAUUCUGUUUUCAAGUGUCUGUAGGGAAAUGAAAGGAAAUCAUUAUUUUGGUGCCUUGGUUUUUAGGAGGAGAUACUGUAUGUCACUAAACAUAUUCAGCACACACAGUUUUGGGACACUGUAAAGUUUAUGGGGAACAAGAGCACCUCCUCCCAGCUGCCCACUGCACUGAGGCUAGGUAACACGGUCACCACCGAUAAAUCCAUGAUAAUCAAAAAUUUAAAUAAGCAUUUCUCUACGGCUGGCCAUGCCUUCCUCCUGGUUACUCCAACCGCGGACAACAGCCCCCCCCCUCCCCCCUCCACAGCUACUCGCCCGAGCCUCCCCAGCUUCUCCUUCACCCAAAUCCAGAUAGCAGAUGUUCUGAAAGAGCUGCAAAACCUGGCCCCUUACAAAUCAGCUGGGCUAGGCAAUCUGGACAAUAUCUUUCUAAAACUGUCCGCCGCCAUUGUUGUAACCCCAUUGUUGUAACCCCUGCCCUGCCUCUCUAAAGUCUUCGAAAGCCAAGUUAAUAAACAGAUCACUGACCAUUUCGAAUCCCACUGUACCUUCUCCACAGUGCAAUCCGGUUUCCGAGCCGGUCACAGGGUCCCCUCAGCCACGCUCAAGGUACUAAACGAUAUCAUAACCGCUAUCGAUAAAAGACAUUACUGUGCAGCCGUCUUCAUCGACCUGGCGAAGGCUUUUGACUCUGUCAAUCACCGUAUUCUUAUCGGCAGACUCAAUAGCCUUGGUUCUCUAACUACUUUGCAGACAGAGUUCAGUGUGUCAAAUCGGAAGGCCUGUUGU
rnacentral:lncRNA from 13 species